rnacentral:rRNA from 1 species
UCUUCGGGAUAGGUAGUAGUUAAGGUGAUGGCUUAACUAGCCAAAAAUUCUCGUAGUCGAAACUGAAAGGUUGAUCGACCACAUUGGGUCUGAAAAAACCCCAAUGCAAGUUAGUACAGCAGUGAGGAAUAUUGGUCAAUGGCCUAACGGCUGAACUGGCAACUUGGAGAAGUGGUAAGUCUUAUUUUGAUUAGAUUAUAAUAUAUAAUCUAUAAGAUUGUAUUAAUAUUGAAUAAAGCUUUGUUUAUAUAUUGAUAAUGACAGUAUAUAUAUCGUGUCUUGACUAAUUACGUGCCAGCAGUCGCGGUAAUACGUAAGAGACUAGUGUUAUUCAUCUUAAUUAGGUUUAAAGGGUACCUAGACGGUCAAUAUAUCUUGUAAAAUGUUAGUACUUGACUAGAGUUUUAUAUAAGAGGGCAGUACUUGAGGAGGAGAGAUGAAAUUCUAUUAUACCAAAGGGACUCGGUAAAGGCGAAGGCAGCCCUUUAUGUAUAAACUGACGUUGAAGGACGAAGGCACAGAGCACAAACAGGAUUAGAUACCCAAGUAGUCUUUGCAGUAAAUGAUGAAUGCCAUAGGUUNAGAUUAA